UAGGCUUGACAUGGUUGGAUGAUCUACCUGAAAGGGAUAGAUUUGCCUUCGGGUGAAACAAUCACAGGUGCUGCAUGGCUGUCGUCAGCUCGUGUCGUGAGAUGUCGGGUUUAGUCCUUCAACGAGCGAAACCCCUGUCUCCAGUUGCCAGCAUUCAGUUGGGGACUCUGGAGAGACCGCCGGCGUUAAGCCGGAGGAAGGCGGGGACGACGUCAAGUCAUCACGGCCUUUAU
rnacentral:rRNA from 1 species